rnacentral:rRNA from 1 species
AUGACGUCAAAUCAUCAUGCCCCUUAUGACCUGGGCUACACACGUGCUACAAUGGUUGGUACAACGAGUUGCGAGUCGGUGACGGCGAGCUAAGUCUCUUAAAGCCCAAUACUCCAGUUCGGAUUGUAGGCUGCAACUCGCCUACAUGAAGUCGGAAUCGCUAAGUAAUCGGCGGAUCAGCACGCCGCGGUGAAUACGUUCCCGGGCCUU